rnacentral:tRNA from 1 species
GGAGUUGUAGCUCAGUGGUAGAACACAUGCCCCCUAAGUGUGAGGCCCUAGGUUCAAUCCUAGCACCA